ACCCAUGUCCUUGGAACCCAGCUGCUAUUUUGGGAGGAAGCCCAAGCCAUGAAGAAAGGUCUUACCAUGUGGAAAUCGAAUAGAUGGGAGGCAGAAUCUCACAUCCCAGCACUGAAGUCUUAGACUACAGACUUGAGCUUUGUCAGUUGAAUUCUCCUGCCUGGGACUGAAUCUGGAGGUAAUAAGGCAAAGACACAGACACUCUGAUAUGUCUACUUUGGGAGUGGUGAGAUAUGGAAAUAGUGAUGAGAGAGGGUGCAAGAUGUCUCUAGACACUUGGGGUAAUGAGGAAAGUUGGGUAAGUACACAGAAAUGUGACUGGGAAUGGCUCACUUUGUCUAUUUCACAGUUUUGAGUUUUGGUCCAAAUUACUCCUGUUAUAAGCUUUAUAAACUUUUCAUGAAACAUAACAAGAAUAAGAGUUCAAAUCUUCCAGUUUGUAAAGGAGUUUGAGUUAUUCAAUAUCUCAUAAGAACUUUGCAGACACAGGAAUUUAGCAAAUAGGUAUCAUAAUUUGGAAUAAAGUAUCAACCAUGAGAUGCUACUUUUUAUAAAUCUUAUCUUCUCUUAUGGCAAUUGUCAGGCUAAUUCCUUAUAUCUUAUUCAACUUACCCAGUCCCAUGAUUCUUUCUAACACUCUCUUUGAUUUAUCUGAUCAAUAACAAAAUUCUAGACCAAAGUCUAAUUUUCGGUUCAAACAAAUGAGUCUUUAUGGAACUUGUAGCCAUUGUAGAGACACCAUCAUUAACAAUAGAAUCCCCAACACCAAAUAAUUUGUUAUCUUGUAGGUAGAGAAAUGCACAAUUAUAAAUAUAACGUUAUACAGAAAAUUGCCACUUGUAUAAAUUAAGUAUGGAUGCAUAGUGGAAAAGAACAGAUUUAUAACUAUUGGGACUUAGAAAUAAACCUUAGAAAAGGUAUUAUUUGAGCAGACCUUGAUGGAUAGUAAGGUUUUUCUAAAUUAGAUUUGAGGAGAGUGGCAAACUUGAUGAAGUUACCUGCAUAAUCAAAGAAAGGAGGCUGUGAGUAUGGCCAAAGAUUUGGGUUGAUUUAAGUUUAUGACACAUGAGCAACAAUAAAAAUAAUUUUUACUGAGUUCUAUAAUAUGUACAGGCACAUUUCUAUAAACAUAUAUUAGCUAAUUAGCUGAUUUAAUCUUCACAAAUCUGUGAGGUAGGUACUAUCGUUAUCUUCAUUCAUCCUUCCAUUUUAUAUAUUUAAAAAGAAAGAUACGCAAAUAAGUUGUGAUUUAUUUUGGUAGACAGACUCUUAGAUGAUCUCUUGUUAUCCUUACCACUUGUUAUGAGUGUCGUAGGGCCUGUGACUUGCUUUUUAUCAAUAGACUUUGGCAAAGAUGAUAAGAUAUCACUUCUGUGAUUAUGUUUCUUAAGAUUAUAACUUUCCUCUUCCUAGCAGAUUCUAUUAGUUGUUUCUUAUACUGGCUCUGAUGAAGCAAGCUGCCAUAGGGAGAAGUCCAUGUGGCAAGGAACUGAGGGUGGCCUGCAGCUAACAACUAUCAAGAAAUUGAUGUCCUCAGUCCAAUAACCUGUAAAGAAUUGUACCCUACUGACAACCGUGUGAACUUGGAAGAGCAUCCUUCCCCAGUCUAGCCUAUAUGAGACCCUAGGCCUGGUUGAGACCUUGAGCUUCAGCCUAGUAAAACACCCUGAAGCAGAGAACCAGUUAAAUCAUAUCCAGAUUUCUGACCCAGAGAAACUGUGAGAUAAUAAAUAUGUGGUGUUUUAAGCUGC
rnacentral:lncRNA from 1 species